GUGGUUGUAGCUCAAUUGGUAGAGUACGGGAUUGUGGUUCCCGGCGUUGUGGGUUCGAGUCCCAUCAAUCACC
rnacentral:tRNA from 1 species